GCCAGUUUAAAAGGCCAUCAGAUGUCCAUGCAGGAUUGAACUGGAAUGCAGUGCCCACUAUGGUUAAUGCCCCUAACCCACCGCCACCACUGGACAUAGAGCAAAAGAGAAAACCACCAAAGACACGCCAGGAGUUGCCACCAAAGACACGGAAACAGAGUCACACCACUCGUCCAAUUUCUGAAGAACAUAGCUUGCCUGAUGAUGAUGCCGUCGCAGGUCCUUCAUCACCA